rnacentral:rRNA from 1 species
UACGGAGGGGGCAAGCGUUAUCCGGAAUUAUUGGGCGUAAAGCGUGCGCGGGCGGUUUUCCAAGUCCGUUGUGAAAGCCCCGGGCUCAACCUGGGAAUGGCAGUGGAAACUAGGGGACUGGAAUCUGGCAGAGGGGGGUGGAAUGCCGCGUGUAGCAGUGAAAUGCGUAGAGAUGCGGCGGAACACCGAUGGCGAAGGCAGCCCCCUGGGCUGAGAUUGACGCUCAGGCACGAAAGCGUGGGGAGCAAACAGG